GUGAAUCAUCGAAUUUUUGAACGCAAAUUGCACUCUCUGGUAUUCCGGAGAGUAUGCCUGUUUGAUGGUCAGUGUAAAUAAAAAUCGGUUUAAUUGCUGCCUUUCGUGUUGACGCACCGGAUGUGGGUCGUCCAGCCUUCGUUUAAGUGACCUAAAAUUUUACAUGAUUUUGUCGAACGUAUAUAAAUGAUUGUACGUACGUUUACGAUAUCGAAUACUAGGUGUGUUCAUCCUCAUUUUU
rnacentral:misc_RNA from 1 species